ACGGGGGGGGCAAGCGUUGUUCGGAAUUACUGGGCGUAAAGGGCUCGUAGGCGGCCAACUAAGUCAGACGUGAAAUCCCUCGGCUUAACCGGGGAACUGCGUCUGAUACUGGAUGGCUUGAGAUUGGGAGAGGGAUGCGGAAUUCCAGGUGUAGCGGUGAAAUGCGUAGAUAUCUGGAGGAACACCGGUGGCGAAGGCGGCAUCCUGGACCAACACUGACGCUGAGGAGCGAAAGCCAGGGGAGCAAACGGGAUUAGAUACCCCGGUAGUCCUGGCCCUAAACGAUGAAUGCUUGGUGUGACGGGUAUCGAUCCCUGUCGUGCCGAAGCUAACGCAUUAAGCAUUCCGCCUGGGGAGUACGGUCGCAAGGCUG
rnacentral:rRNA from 1 species